UGGUCCUAGUGAUCUGAUUACUUAUCAUCUUUUUCAAAAGAUAUGAUAAUUAUUUAAAAGUG
rnacentral:rRNA from 1 species